rnacentral:rRNA from 1 species
AUUGAACGCUGGCGGCAGGCCUAACACAUGCAAGUCGAACGAGUGGCGGACGGGUGAGUAAUGUCUGGGCAACUGCCUGAGGGAGGGGGAUAACUACUGGAAACGGUAGCUAAUACCGAAUACCACAGAAUGUGCCAAGAUGGGUUUGGCUAGUGGGUGGGGGAAAGGAUCACCUAGGCGAAGAUCCCUAGCUGGUCUGAGAGGAUGACCAGCAACAUGUGAACUGAGACACGGUCCAGACUCCUAGGGGAGGCAGCAGUGGGGAAUAUUGCACAAUGGGCGCAAGCCUGAUGCAGCCAUGCCGCGUGUAUGAAGAAGGCCUUCGGGUUGUAAAGUACUUUCAGCGGGGAGGCGUUACUCGCAGAAGAAGCACCGGCUAACUCCGUGCCAGCAGCCGCGGUAAUUC